GAUGAACGCUAGCUACAGGCUUAACACAUGCAAGUCGAGGGGAAACGAUAUUGGAAGCUUGCUUCCGAUAGACGUCGACCGGCGCACGGGUGAGUAACGCGUAUCCAACCUGCCCAUCACUUGGGGAUAACCUUGCGAAAGUAAGACUAAUACCCAAUGAUAUUUAUAGAAGGCAUCCGAAAUGAAUUAAAGAUUUAUCGGUGAUGGAUGGGGAUGCGUCUGAUUAGCUUGUUGGCGGGGUAACGGCCCACCAAGGCGACGAUCAGUAGGGGUUCUGAGAGGAGAGUCCCCCACAUAGGAACUGGGACACGGGCCACACUCCUACGGGAGGCAGCAGUUAGGAAUAUUGGUCAAUGGGCGAGAGCCUGAACCAGCCAAGUAGCGUGCAGGAUGACGGCCCUAUGGGUUGUAAACUGCUUUUAUAGGGGAAUAAAGUGAGCUACGUGGAGGUUUUUGCAUUUACCCUAUGAAUAAGGACCGGCUAAUUCCGUGCCAGCCGCCGCGGUAA
rnacentral:rRNA from 1 species